ensembl:lncRNA
UAGUUAAAACUCAUUCAUGGAUUCUUUCUUCUGCAGCUGGAAAAUUGCUAUUUGUUUUGGGCUGCGUUCAGUGAGCUGUGAACUGCCCCAGGAUUAAUUAAACCUGCCUGUUCAUCAUCUAUCGGUGUAUCAGCUGUUAGUGAUAAGAGGCCCUUGAGAAGUUGAGGAGAACGAUGGGUGAGCAAAGCAGAUGGGCAAGUGCAAGGGAAGCCUCAAAACCCAAGACUAAAGCAAAGAACAUUCUCCCUGUGUGGCAACUGGACACUGAACAUGGACUCUGGAGGGAGGUGGACAUGGCUAGCAGCUGUGUGCUCCAUGGAUGUUUCCAGGUACCAGUUCGUAGUUGCGGCACGCGGGAUCCUCAGUCUUCAUGGUGUAUGCAGGAUCUUGAGUUGUGGCUUGUGAACUCUUCACUGGGGCAUGUGGGAUCUGGUUCCCUCACCAGGGAUGGAACCCAGGUCCCUCCCGUGCAUCGAGAAUAUGGAGCUUUAGCCACUGAGCCACCAGGGAAGUCCUAUUCCUAUUUUGCAGAUGAGGAAACUAAGUAUGAAGGAGGUUGACUCACUGUCAUCCUAUUUGAACUUUUUCCUCUUCACUAUAUUAAACAGGGCCUGCCAGGUUGAAAGGCAGCAUCAACACGAUUGACAGCUGAAACCCGACCCUCUGCACCACACCCAGAAGCCCCUGGACAACUUCCGGCUGCCCCAGGGUGAGGAGGGAGCUUGUGGCCCUACUCAGUGCUGGACAGGCAGGGGGAAAGCUGGACCAUCUUUGCAGUUCAGAUCAUCACCUGGAAGGGUCUGUGGCAUCGUGCCCUGGCCUCGCAUCACAAAGGUCUUUGCGCGAUGUUCUGGCUUCCAGGCUGUGUGGCUAAGUGUCGGGAAAUGAAGGCACAUGGAGGCCGAAGGAGGGUCUCACGGCUGCUCUGAGUUCCAGCAGCUGAGAAGCCUGUGGCUGGUGGCCUUGCCUGAUGGCCCUUUAUGAUGUCAUAGUCUGGCCCAUGUUAGACUCUCCACAAAUGUUAUUGGAUGGAUAGAUGGAUGGACAGAUGGUAUUACUUAAACCAAGCAGCUGUACUCUCUCUUGCUUGAUAAGUGAUUAAUAAAAUAAGACAUUCCCAGUCUUUCUUUUUAUUAAUAAGUCAAAAAGGGAAAGGUGAAAGUGCAUAUAUAUGUAUGUAUAACUGAUUCACUUUGCUGCACAUCUGAAACUAACAGCAUUGUAAGUCAACUAUAUACCAGUAUAAGAUUAAAAGAAGGAAAGUUGAAUGUAUGCAAAUGUGUGGGAGUAUAUACAUGUGGGAGAGUGUAUAAGUAUGUAUGUGAGUGUGUGUGUGUGUGUGCUUUUGUGUGAACACAUGUACCUGCCUAAGUACUUGUGACUCUGGGUACAUGUGAUUGUGUGUACAUAUAUGUGAGAGUGUCCUUGGGUGUGUCUGUGUAUGGGGUGUGUGAGUGUGAGUUUGUGAAUGUCUGAGCGUGAGGAUAUGCACGACAGUCACCUACACACGAACCUUCAAACUGCAAACUUUGAAAGAUACGAAUGUGCAUCUAGUUCCAGCAAGGAGCCAGAACCCAUGCCGUCAGCAUCAGGCGUGAGUGAACUCUUAGCUUGCCCUCCGUCUCCUGUUGCUGACGGCCCUUCAGCUCUACCGUCUCCCACCUCCUCUCCCUCCUCCAUCAGGAACUCUUCUGGCCUGUUCACUCCGUGCCAGCCCCUGUGUGCCAGCUAUUGUAC